rnacentral:rRNA from 1 species
AUUGAACGCUGGCGGCAGGCCUAACACAUGCAAGUCGAACGGUAGCACAGAGAGCUUGCUCUCGGGUGACGAGUGGCGGACGGGUGAGUAAUGUCUUGGAAACUGCGCGACGGAGGGGGAUAACUACUGGAAACGGUGGCUAAUACCGCAUAACGUCGCAAGACCAAAGUGGGGGACCUUCGGGCCUCACACCAGCGGAUUUGCCCAUAUGGGAUUAGCUAAUAGGUGGGGUAAGGGCUCACCUAGGCGACGAUCCCUAGCUGGUCAGAGAGGAUGACCAGCGACACUGGAACUGAGACACGGUCCAGACUCCUACGGGAGGCAGCAGUGGGGAAUAUUGCACAAUGGGCGCAAGCCUGAUGCAGCCAUGCCGCGUGUAUGAAGAAGGCCUUCGGGUUGUAAAGUACUUUCAGCGGGGAGGAAGGCGGUGAAGUUAAUAACUUCACCGAUUGACGUUACCCGCAGAAGAAGCACCGGCUAACUCCGUGCCAGCCGCCGCCGUAA